ensembl:lncRNA
CGGGAAGAGAAUAUUUGGCGCGGAAACUUCUGUUGUGUUGAGCUGUGUACCAAGAGAGAGAUGAAGGUUGUCAAUAAAUAGCAAUGGCUCCGGCUUCUAACACAUAGAAGUGAGUCUGAACGGAAAGUUACUAUUAAACAAACAAGCAUGUUAGCGAGCUAGACAAGAGGGAACAUGCAAAUACGGCUUAGCCAGCAAGCGUUACAAUAGCUCUCACUAACAACAAAGAAACUAUGAGCCAGUUAACGUUAGCUAGCUUUUCCAAAAUUACUAGAUUUAGUUACAUUUACACUGAAUGAUCGUAAUAUGAAUAAUUACCCACAGUUAGCUGGCUAGCAACUCUGUGAUGAUGACAUUUUAGAAAGUGGUCUGUCGCUAGCGAAAUUUAGCAAUGCGGGUGUGUUUACAUACAUUAGCUCCUAUUGUAAUUGGGUUACAACGAAACAGGAAGUCAGAAGUUCCAUUUUAACUUUUUUUUUUAAGCCCUCGAUUUUCAUUGAGUUGUCGCCAACCAUUUUCUCUUAAGGCAUCGCACCUGGCAUUGAUGAGCCUGGAAAGAGUGGCGAUAACAUCAUUAUUGGCAGUGGCAUCUGGGCCCAGUUCCAAACAUGCCUUUCUUGGAAGCUGGAGGUUUGCUUUAAAGGUUAAAGGCAAAGAAGGAAAAUCCUCGUCUGACACGGUGGCGGAUUUGACCAGUGUGUAUGAAGAGGUGGACGAGGAACUCUCGGAUGGCGAGAGAGGCAGAACGGUGACUGGAUCGUUGAUGAUGAGCUGAGCAGCCAGCCAGUGAGUUGGUGGAAGUGAUGGCGUUGCAUAGGGACCUGGUCACCGAGGUCAAAGACCUGCCGCCUCCACCUCUCACUGUCAUGUCCUUCAGCCUGAAGACUACAGAACCCGGAACACCACAACGAGGUGUGUGUAAUACUGAGUCAGACUUAGGUCUGUUACGAUGACUGAGUUAUAGGCGCUGUAAAAUUCCACAUGACUUCUGAGCAGUUGUGUAAAGGUACUUAAGUAAAAAUACUUUAAAGUACUACCUAAGUAGUUGUUUGGGUUAUCUGUACUUUACUAUUUAGAUUUUUUUUGACUACUUUUACUUCACUACAUUCCGAAAGAAAAUAAUGUACUUUUUACUCCAUACAUUUUUC